rnacentral:lncRNA from 1 species
AUGGUGAGAAACAGGCUAUUACUGGGAUACCUCAGAUUGCCUUCAGAAUAUCUACCUCUCCUGGGAUCCAGGGUUUUCUCCAGUAUGAAUUUGUGCAGAUGCCCUACACCACGCACACUGCUCCUGAAAUUCUCGACAUGGACUACCUUACUGGUGGCGAUGACAUUGACAACUUCCUGCCAGUUCCAGCUCUCCCUCUUAAUAAUGACAUGUCUGCAGUUCCACUAGUAUGACCAGUAUACCAGGCCAGAGGUCCACCACGUCAUCCACCCAACAGCAACAGCAAGUCAAACAUACACAUCCAUGACUACCCACAGCCCAUUCCAACAACCUUUGGGGUGCCUCAGGGCCAACAUAUAGGACCUGCUGAGGUUCCAGAUUCCUUAGAAAGUCCUUUGUGAGAGCCACACUUCUAAACUCCAUCAGACUUAAUAGCCAGUGGUUAGAAAUUCAAUUUUAUGGUUACUGACCAUGAAGAACUUUAUAAAUCUGUGGCUGGUAACACUACCAGAGGGUGAGGUGGGUUUACAGACACAUUUGAAAUCACCAAUUAGUCACUAAUGCAGAACCAUCAGUCUUUAAAUGCUAAGAUAUGUCACUCCUAGAUUUGCAAUCUAGGUGCAAACUAUUUGUUAGGAAAAAAAUUAGCUCUGGUUGAUAAUUUUUAAUUUGUUUUUUUUUUUUUUGUUAUUCAUGCCAUCAGUCAAACAUGCUAUUCACAGUCAGUCAUAAUUUAUUCUGUAAAUGAAAACGUACAAACGGGGUUAAUGUCAAACAAGUAGUUUGGCUCAAGUCAUGUGAUCUCAACAUGGUGGCCAAUAAGAGGGGACUCGCUCCAUGUAGAAUAAAACUGUAGUAGUGCUUUAUUUCAACAGUCCACAUUAAACAUACUACUAACUAUAAAUAGCUUUGCAACUACACUUCAUCUAACGCUCAGUAAUCUGCAACUACAUGCCAACUAACAUUAGAGUAUAAGUAGACUGUUAGUUUAGGGUUAAUAGAGUAAGAUGUUUUUCUAAAAAAAUUUUCUUGUAGUCAGAUGAAUGUGUUGGGGGACACUAAAAUAAAGGGUUAGUAGAUAUUAAGUAUACAGUCUACUAAUACUCUAAUGUCUGCUGGUUGACGGUUGAGUUGCAAAGUUACUUGGAGUUUGUUGAAUGUCAGUUACAGUACAAAUGAAUUCAAUCUUUUUAGGUCUCUUAUAUGAUUUAUCUUUACACAUUUUAAAUAGUCCUAUGUAUUUCUUUUGCAUAUUUUACAUACAUUGGUCGAACGACAUACAGUUCAACCCCAAACUCAUGCCAUUGGUUUAGAUGCAUUGAAGUAGUUAAUUAGAAAAAUAAAUAAAUAAAAAAAAAAAAAAAAAUAAAACUACAACACAACGACACUUAAUUUUUUUUACUUUUUUUUUUACCUUUACUUAGUAAACUAAAUUGAUAACGUGAGGACGCCAAAGUAAGAGUAAAACUCACGUGAACGGCUAUAAACCUAAUACAGUUUCUCAACAACGUCAUUAGUAAAGUAAAAAAAAAAAAUAACUUUUUUUUUUUUUUUUUUUUUUAUGUAUUCUUAGAUACCUGUGAAUACACAAUACUUUUUCAUAACAGUAGACAGUUAUGUAUUGUCUGUUAAAUGCUAUUAUUCUCUCCUUUGAAAUGUUCAUGUUCUGUACGUACAAAAAUGAAAAUAUUUUUGAAGAGAUAAUUCUGUAAAAUGUUCUGUCUCAUUUAUGCAUUUGUAGUGUUUGGUUGAUUGUUUAAAGAUUAUAAAGGACCUGAAGGUCUUUGUUAAUGAGUAAGGCAUCAGGUUGAGGAACAGAGAGAAUAUCCAUAUGGUAAAAAAAGACUGAAGACUACAGGUUUCCUGCUGCUUUAGCAUCUCUAAUGCAAUCUAACAGUCUCAUUAGGGGAGUUGAAACUUUUCUGAAGCUGUGAAAUUUUGCAUUUGCAAAGGUUGAUGAUCCGGAGCUAAUAGCAGAUGUUCUCAAUGGGGCUGUUAUAAGGUCAUCUGCUGUCAGGGUCACCCUUUUAUUUCCUGGAUAAAUUAAGAGCGUUUUAUUCAUUUAGAACUGAUGGCAUGAAAAUGUUAACAUUUUUAUGGGUUUGAGUGUAUUCAAAAUUUACAUGUUAAAUAUUAGAAUUUUUAAAUGGCUAAUAUCAAAUAAUCCACAAUGGUUUACUACAAUAGCCGUUAAAUCAAAUUCAAUGCUUUAUAAUGUAUAUAUGAUGAGCACAUCAAAUAACCUCAGCAUUUUUUUUGUAACAAAACAGGUGACAAAUUUAAAGGCUUUACACUGAAAUGCAGGGUCGCGAGGGAGACCACUCUUUCGAUGUUGUACACACAAUUAAACACUAGAGGGCAGCACACUCAAAUAAAGUCAAACAAGCAACUUGACGGCAUGACUGAUUGGCCACUGCUAAUGAAAGCUAAGUGUGCAGAGAAGUUUUAUUGCAAUAUUUUUAGAACUUAAUACAGAUUCUUUUGAUAACGAUAACACAUAUGAACACUUAAUUGUGAGAAUAUUUUAAUUAAAAUAUAUUUUCAUUUUGGAAUAUUGCUGAUAGUCAAUUGAUUGUAAAAGACAUAAUAUAAUGCCCACAGCAGUACUCAGAGUAUACUGAAGGGAAGACAGGCCUACACUAGUGCAUGUCUUACAAAUCACUGUCUGAGAGUGACAGCACUUAAAUGCUUUGACAAGUAGUGACAGAGGCCUGAGGCGAGGAACGGGAUGUGUGUGUGUAACACAGUGUGACAGGUUGACCUUGCCUGAUACAGUCAUGUGACUCAUGUGGCCCAACCAGUUCCACAAUAAACAACAAAUGGUCUAAGGUUCUCCAUGAAUGGGACUUUAUAUGUUUAAUAUAACAUACUACCAUGCUAAUUUUAAGUUGAAUAUAAUUGUUCUGUUAAGGAAUCCAUAGAUGACAUCUGCCAAAAUUCACUCCAAAUACAAUAUUCUAUCCCACAAUGCAAUCCUGUGUGACAAAUAAAUUGAAAAUUCAUGUGAUUCUGGAUUUUUCACAUCUUUAUGAGUGAACUGCCAAAUAAGAUUUUGACACAAAUUAAAUUACGAUUGAAAAUUAACUAUUUUGUUUUCAAG